rnacentral:rRNA from 1 species
UACGAGGGGGGCGAGCGUUGCUCGGAAUUAUUGGGCGUAAAGGGUGCGUAGGCGGUUUGGUAAGUCUGGUGUGAAAUCUAUGGGCUCAACUCAUAGUCUGCAUCGGAAACUGCCGGGCUUGAGUAUGGGAGAGGUGAGUGGAAUUCCUGGUGUAGCGGUGAAAUGCGUAGAUAUCAGGAGGAACACCUGUGGCGAAAGCGGCUCACUGGACCGUAACUGACGCUGAUGCACGAAAGCGAGGGGAGCAAACAGG